rnacentral:rRNA from 1 species
GACGAACGCUGGCGGCGUGCUUAACACAUGCAAGUCGAACGGAAAGGCCCUGCUUUUGUGGGGUGCUCGUGUGGCGAACGGGUGAGUAACACGCGAGUAUCCCGUCCCUGACUUUGGGAUAAAUCCAGGAAACUGGGGCUAUUAUCGGAUAGGAUCUCUUGCUGCAUGGUGGGGGUUGGUGAGUUUCGGCGGUUGGGGAUGGACUCGCGGCUUAUCGGCUUGUUGGUGAGGUAGUGGCUUACCAAGGCUUUGACGGGUAGCCGGCCUGAGAGGGUGACCAGGCUCAAUGGGACUGAGGUACGGCCCAGACUCCUACGGGAGGCAGCGGUCGAGAGUAUUACGCAAUAGGCGGGAGCGAGAUGCAGCGACGCCGCGUGCGGGAUGACGGGCUUUGGGUUGUGAACCGCUUUGGCCUGUGACGAGGCGGGAGUGACGGUAAUGGGUAAAGAAGCACCGGCUAACUACGUG